rnacentral:rRNA from 1 species
GGGCCCGCACAAGCGGUGGAGUAUGUGGUUUAAUUCGAUGCAACGCGAAGAACCUUACCAGGGUUUGACAUCCUGCGAAUCUCUUGGAAACGAGAGAGUGCCUUCGGGAGCGCAGUGACAGGUGGUGCAUGGCUGUCGUCAGCUCGUGUCGUGAGAUGUUGGGUUAAGUCCCGCAACGAGCGCAACCCACGUCUUUAGUUGCCAGCAUUUAGUUGGGCACUCUAGAGAGACCGCCGGUGAUAAACCGGAGGAAGGUGUGGAUGACGUCAAGUCAUCAUGCCCCUUACAUCCUGGGCUACACACGUACUACAAUGCUACGGACAAAGAGCAGCAAGUUCGCGAGGACAAGCAAAUCUCAUAAAGCCGAUCUUAGUCCGGAUUGCAGGCUGCAACUCGCCUACGUGAAGGCGGAAUCGCUAGUAA